UACGAAGGGGGCUAGCGUUGUUCGGAAUUACUGGGCGUAAAGCGCACGUAGGCGGAUCGAUCAGUCAGGGGUGAAAUCCCAGGGCUCAACCCUGGAACUGCCUUUGAUACUGUCGAUCUGGAGUAUGGAAGAGGUGAGUGGAAUUCCGAGUGUAGAGGUGAAAAUUCGUAGAUAUUCGGAGGAACACCAGUGGCGAAGGCGGCUCACUGGUCCAUUACUGACGCUGAGGUGCGAAAAGCGUGGGGAGCAAACAGG
rnacentral:rRNA from 1 species